CAGUAGCCACGGGAAUACGUAGGUGGCAAGCGUCGUCCGGAAUUAUUGGGCGUAAAGGGCUCGCAGGCGGUUUCUUAAGUCUGAUGUGAAAGCCCCCGGCUCAACCGGGGAGGGUCAUUGGAAACUGGGAAACUUGAGUGCAGAAGAGGAGAGUGGAAUUCCACGUGUAGCGGUGAAAUGCGUAGAGAUGUGGAGGAACACCAGUGGCGAAGGCGACUCUCUGGUCUGUAACUGACGCUGAGGAGCGAAAGUGUGGGGAGCGAACAGGAUUAGAUACCCCCGUAGUCCCUGUCUCUUAUAC
rnacentral:rRNA from 1 species